UAUUGAAGUUCCAUCUACAACUGGAUAAUACUUCGGUCCUAGUCUAUACGAGUUUUUGAAAGUAAGGGAGCAAUGCACUCUUGAUAGAACAAGAGGUGAUUGCUCCUUUACUUUUCUUUUGUUUAUUACGACUAGAGUAGUCUUUUACUUACAGAUUGUUUUUUUGUUACAAGAAAAAGAUUUUUAUGCUUUGGUUCAUGAUUGAGUCUCCUUUUUUCUUUUUUUAUUCCUUUUGAAUUGAGAUACCUUUGUUUUGUGAAAUUCUUAUUUUCCAUUGAAAGGAAAAUGAMAGGAAAAGAGAAAAUUUGCUUAAGACUUCAAAUUUAUAUCUCCGAAAUAAGAAAAAAAAUAAUCGGGAAUUUUAGAAAUUGAAAUCUUAAG
rnacentral:misc_RNA from 1 species